rnacentral:rRNA from 2 species
CUUUAUUGGAGAGUUUGAUCCUGGCUCAGGAUGAACGCUGGCGGCGUGCCUAAUACAUGCAAGUCGAGCGAAUGGAUUAAGAGCUUGCUCUUAUGAAGUUAGCGGCG